rnacentral:rRNA from 1 species
CCAAUAGCGUAUAUUAAAGUUGUUGCAGUUAAAAAGCUCGUAGUUGAAUUUCGGGGUUCUACCGUUGGUCGGGCAAUUGUCUGUACUGGCGUGUGGAAUUUCUACCUUCUGGGGAACCAUCAUGUUAUUAAUUUAGCGUGGUGGGAAACCAGGACCUUUACCUUGAAAAAAUUAGAGUGUUCAAAGCAGGCUUACGUCUGAAUACAUUAGCAUGGAAUAAUAAAAUAGGACGGUGGUCCUGUUUUGUUGGUUUCUGAAUCACCGUAAUGAUUAAUAGGGAUAGUUGGGGGCAUUAGUAUUCAAUUGUCAGAGGUGAAAUUCUGGGAUUUAUUGAAGACUAACUUCUGCGAAAGCAUUUGCCAAGGAUGUUUUCAUUAAUCAAGAACGAAAGUUAGGGGAUCGAAGACGAUCAGAUACCGUCGUAGUCUUAACCAUAAACUAUGCCGACUAGGGAUCGGACGAUGUUAAUUUUUCUUGACUCGUUCGGCGCCUUACG